GCAAGUCGAACGAAGUAGCAAUACUUAGUGGCAGACGGGUGAGUAACAUGUGGGUAUCUUCCCUUUGGCCUGGAAUAACACGAGGAAACUUGUGCUAAUACUGGAUAAGUCUUUACGGAGAAAGCUUUAUGCACCAUUGGAUGAGCCUGCACUUGAUUAGUUUGUUGGUGGGGUAAUGGCCUACCAAGACUUUGAUCAAUAGCUGAUUUGAGAGGAUGAUCAGCCACAUUGGGACUGAGACACGGCCCAAACUCCUACGGGAGGCAGCAGUGGGGAAUCUUGCACAAUGGAGGAAACUCUGAUGCAGCGAUGCCGCGUGAGUGAAGAAGGCCUUUGGGUUGUAAAGCUCUUUCGUCGGGGAAGAAAAUGACUGUACCCGAAUAAGAAGGUCCGGCUAACUUCGUGCCAGCAGCCGCGGUAAUACGAAGGGACCUAGCGUAGUUCGGGAUUACUGGGCUUAAAGAGUUCGUAGGUUGUUGAAAAAGUUGGUGGUGAAAUCCCAAAGCUUAACUCUGGAACUGCCAUCAAAACUUUUCGGCUAGAGUUUGAUAGAGGAAAGCAGAAUUUCUAGUGUAGAGGUGAGAUUCGUAGAUAUUAGAAAGAAUACCAAUUGCGAAGGCAGCUUUCUGGAUCAUUACUGACACUGAGGAACGAAAGCAUGGGUAGCGAAGAGGAUUAGAUACCCUCGUAGUCCAUGCCGUAAACGAUGUGUGUUAGACGUUGGAAAUUUAUUUUCAGUGUCGCAGCGAAAGCGAUAAACACACCGCCUGGGGAGUACGACCGCAAGGUUAAAACUCAAAUGAAUUGACGGGGACCCGCACAAGUAGUGGAGCAUGUGGUUU
rnacentral:rRNA from 1 species